UAAUACAAUACAUCCAAAUUAUUAUUUCAAUAUGUAGCCAUUAUUAAAAAUUAACAAAAUAUUUUGAAUUCUCUGUUUUUAUACAAAGUUUUCAUAAUCAGGAGUGCAUGUUACACCUUUGGUACAUCAAGUGCUCAGUAGCCCCAUGCAGCUAGUGGCCACCAUAUUAGACAGUACGGUCUAGAAUACUUCUGAUGUGAAGCAAAGUGACAUUUGAAUUUCUGUGUUUAGAUUUGAGCUGCCUCAGUUUUCACAUUGAUGAGUCGAUGGGAGGCCAAAAAGAAAAUGUUUCAGAAAUGUUACAGACUAAAUAAAAAGCUAUUGGCCACUCCUGACUGUUCAGAAGAGAAGUGAUUCCCAGCAUGACUUAAAAGAACAAUACUUUCCUGGGCAUUGCUAAGUUAUCUAGGGACCUCAGUCCCUCUGAUUCCUCUUUGGGCCCUGGAAUCUUGACUGCAGCCUAUAGUCUCGUAAGUACUGCCAUGAAGCCAGUAGUAUUCUUGCUUACCAAAAUCUACUGUCAGCCACAUAGUGUCUCCAUUCAGAAAGGACUGCAUAUAGCAUCCUGUUUUGUAGGCCUGGACGAAGAUGGACAUCAUCCCUGUGUCACAGGAAAUAUGUCUUUCUAGAAAUCUACUGGACCAUACCAAAUUUGCAUGAUGAAGAUUAUAUGAUGAUGGUGAUGUCAUGCCAGUUUUCCCCAAGAUGGGAAUAUGAUCAUGGCCUGGUCUUCUUUCAGAUUUCCUUAGAAGGAUUUAAUCAACACUGCCAUUACACAUGGAUUCAUAAAAAGACUUUCAGAAAUUUUUUACAUACUGAUUUUAGAAUAAUCCUCAAGGUUCUAUUGUCAUUUUUAGUGGCAGACUUAAAAAGAAAGGAACAGUUUGCCUCUUAUUAUGACCUCAGUUAUCUAGUAUUUUAAACGUUUUUGUAAUUUAGAAUGUUUAGUGAUCCCUAUGCCCAGUUGCACAUGGAAGGGUGGAGUGCCUAGAGGCUGAAGACAGGGAAAGAGCCCUUUUGUUUCAUAAUUCAGUUUUUAUUGCACAGAAGCAGCUGGUUGCAUUUCAAAUUGGAAAAAGAAAAGUAAAUGCCAGAAAAGGCAAAGGAUAAAGUUAGUAAACCAUUUAUUCUGUUUUACGGUUGUUGUUGCAAAGCAAAUUAAAAAAAAAAAAAGGUCAGCAAAGUGAAUCACCACUAGAAUUUUCUUGAUGAAGGUUGACUCAACAUAUAAUUGACAAAUAUAUAGAGCAGAGUCAAUUAUAUAAUUACAAUGCCAUUAUGUAAUUUAUUUGUCAUUGCAGAAUAUUCAGUCUGGUUAUCUAGGUCUACUUUAGAUGGCGCAAAGUUUCCAGACAUUUACCUACAUAAAAGGAUUUGUAAUAUUGUAAUUACUGCCUAUUAGGCCAUAUUCCAGUUUCCUGAAUGUUUAUCAAUGAUGUGUCCCUGAUCAGGGUCAUUGCUAAUGUUUAAAACUGCUUGUUAGACUCUGUGUCUGGAGUGUUUUUUUAAAUGUUUAUGCACAUGUAAUUUCAAUAUCGAUAUUAGAAUAUUCAUAACUACAUGAUAAGCAGAAAUGUACCCAAUGAUUUUCUAUAAAAAUUUUUUCUCAAAGUCCUUUUAUUCCCCUGACACACUCAGGGUGAGUUUCUGUCUCCUUGACACAUAGAGAAGAAAAAAAAAGAGUAAGAGAGAGAGAGAGACUGCUGGAGUGAUAUCAGCUACCCACUCAUGCUAAUGAAGUUCAGCAUUUCCUCUUUUUAUAUUUUGACCUACUAAUGGCUAGUUUUUGACAUUACCACUCCUUGUGGAUAUUACCUGAGAUCACAUAGUAUAACUUCAGCUCAUAAAGCCCAACUAUUUCUCUACUUAUCUUGGAGAGCAAUACCAAACUUAAUUAAAUUAUGUUUGUUUAAAAUUCCAAUUUUCAUAAAUGCUCUGUGAUGCACUCGGAUGAUUUGAUUGUGUAAUUUUAACUUCCUUCAAGACUUAGUCUGUUCCCUGCCAUCUGGUUCAGAGUUCCACUGAGGACAAGAUAGAAGCCUUGCCAUGAAAGUGAACCACCUGACUCCUUCGCAGGAAUCAGACACUGCUCUAGAGAAGAUUCCAGGCAUCCGACCUGGUUGAGCUCCAAUGAGCCAAGUGGGAGGAAACCUCUUCCCAUGCUCCGAUUGAAAGUGAUAGUGCUUGCAUGUUGGUACAUAUUGUAAUUGGUCAGUAAUGGAAAAAUGAGAUUCCAUCAAUCAUUAGCUCUUUCCCAGUCUUGGAACAUCCCAGACUGAAGAAACGCAGGGUCUUUGGUGGCCCAGAAUUUAGUUGGAAACUCUAAAUAGCAAUGCCAGGACUGUAAAAAUCACACUGUUCUUUUAAAUAGUUGUUUUCAGCUCACUUUGAAGAUUGACCUGGAAAACCCAUAGAUAAGAAAUAGUUAUAUCCAUUUAAUUUUUGCUGUGAUUCAUCGUGUCAAAAACGACAUUUGAUUUUCAAUAAGAUUAAAUAAUAAUCUUUAUUUUCCAUUUAAAAGAUUAUUUCGGGCUACUUAAAUACAAUAGACUUUACAUUAGAAUGUUUGCAGACUGUUGUUUUCCCUAAGCUCUCUCCCAACUCUGUGAAUGAUAAUCAGUUUGUGAAUGAUAAAAGUUUGCUGGGUUUGUCCUUUUUUUGUCCUUUCCUUGACAGAUGAAUAGUAGUUAAUCUGUUUUGUAAAGGAUACAAUUAAGUAUGACUAUAAAUUGAAAACUAUCAUUUCAUACCAUUUCCUUUUAACCUGACCUAUUUUAUAUGCCUACAAUACAGUUAAUAUACAAUAGCAUAGAGUACAAAUAGCAUGUUCAUAAUUUAUGAUUUUAUUUUUCUGUUCAUGCCACUGUUAGUAGUAUUUUAAUGGUCAUCUAUAAGCCAAAAGAUGUCCUAACAUAUCCAUUUAUUAAGUAAUUAAGUCCAAACAACAUAAUAGUAGUCCUUCGUUUCAUGUCUGACAGAAGUUGCUAUGUUUCCUUCAAAAUUUUAAAAUGUUUUAUGAGUUCAGUGAGUGGGAACAGCUGACUUAGGGGUGUAAUUAAUUCCUUAUGACCAAUGAAAUAAGGAUAUAGGCAAAAGGGAUUAUUAAUAAACAAGUUAAAAGCUAGUAUUUAUACUCUUACUUAUUUGAAUGCCAUCAUUCUUUUAUUUCUGGUCUUGAGAUAUACAUAUAAAACUUAAGUGUGCAUUUUUUUAAAAAAAGUAAUUCCUCAAGGAACUAAAUUUAAAUCUCCAAAGAACAGUUUUGAGGAGUCAGAAAAACUAUGGUUCACAGAGCAAACUACCAAAGCCCCAUUGCUAUUGGAACACAGCCAUGCUCACUUAAUUUAUGUAUUGUUUAUGGCUGCUUUCAUGCUACCCAGAGAGAGUUAAGUACUUUCAACAGCGACCAUACGGCCUGCAAAGCCCAAAAUGUUGUUUAUCUGGCCCUUUAUAGAAAAAAAAAAAAAUGACCCUGAGUUUUCUUGGCACCCAUGCAUUUUUAAUGACCUCUAGGAGUACAGAAUACCAUACUCCAGCUUUCUUCUCCUUAGUUUAAGGUUCUUAUUCCAAUUUACUUCUUAGGAAGUUAGGAAAAUUUUGUUUUAUAUUGCAGAUGGUCUCACAACAAUAAUUGUGCUGGAGAUACAACUUAGUGAAAUUUCCCUGCAAAACUAAAAAUUCAAAAUUGCAUCAUUUUUUAAAAAAGAAAUUUAGAGUAUGAAUUGAGUUGGUUGAGAGUGGAAUUUAAAAGAUUUCUAGCACUUUGAGCAUGUUUUAGAAAUCUGAUCCUUGUAUUUAAAAUCAUGUAAAUGACAUUUUCACUGGCAUUUGCUUACAUUUAAGUCAAUCUGCAGCUGUUUCUUACUAAGAUAAGAAAUGGGAACCCUUUGAUUCUGAAUCUCUCACAAUGUUCUGAAGUAAUUUAUAUCAAUUAGAUUUUCAUUACUCAUUUUUAACAUAUAAUGUACUUUAUUAUGUGGCAUUUUAUGACAAUGACUUUCUCAUCAAUAGCUCAGGGACAUGCAAACAGCCAACUCUCUUACGUAAGAAAGCUACUUUCCAAUCUCAUGCUUUUCUGAGUGUUAAGUAAUUCAUUUCUUUGAAAAGAGAGAGUCUGGAGUAAAUGCUUUCCUUUACUUUUCUUAUAUAUUUAGAAAUCCAAGAAGGGCUCUUCUCUUAGUCUAUUUUUGUCACAGAGAAAUUGUUCAUUCCAAAAUAUCUGCCUUAAGGGAAGCAGGUGACCCAGAUCUUGAGAGAAACAUAGGCAAUUCAUGACCUUUGUGUUUCAGUUUGACAUUCAACAUCUGUAGUACAAUGGUUGCAAAUGAGAUAUUGUGUAGAAACCCAUUAUAAGCUUAUCAUUAGGAAUACCUAAAAUUGUAUCAUGACUUUAAUAUGCUGUUUUCUUUAAACUGUUGCAGCAAUCAAUAAUAUGAUAUAGCUACUGGGAUAAACUAUAGGAGUCAGGAACAAAAGAUAUGAAUCCUCUGCCAGCUUCUCAUGGUUGUAUGUAGGAGAAACACCUUACUGGAAUAGAAGAGGGAAAAGAUGACAAAACAUAGAUUAGGAUUCCACAUUCCCACCUGCAUAUCAUCUUGAUUGCUCAGCAUGAAGACAGUUGUUGAUGGACUUAAAUACCUUAGAAAUGAAUAGACCAAAG